UUGUUUUGGCAGCACAUAUACUAAAAUUUGAAUGAUACAGAGAAGAUUAGCACGGCCCCUGUGCAAGGAUGACACGCAAAUUCAUGAAGCGUUCCAUAUUAAA
rnacentral:snRNA from 1 species